AUGAAGGACGUUACUAACGACGAUAUGCUUUGGGUAGCUGUAAGUAAGCGUUGAUCCAGAGAUUUCCGAAUGGGGGAACCCAGCAUGAGUUAUGUCAUGUUAUCGACAUGUGAAUUCAUAGCAUGUCAGAAGGCAGACCCGGAGAACUGAAACAUCUUAGUACCCGGAGGAAGAGAAAGAAAAAUCGAUUCCCUGAGUAGCGGCGAGCGAAACGGGAAUAGCCCAAACCAACAAGCUUGCUUGUUGGGGUUGUAGGACACUCUAUACGGAGUUACAAAAGAACAUGUUAGACGAAUCAUCUGGAAAGAUGAAUCAAAGAAGGUAAUAAUCCUGUAGUCGAAAACAUAUUCUCUCUUGAGUGGAUCCUGAGUACGACGGAGCACGUGAAAUUCCGUCGGAAUCUGGGAGGACCAUCUCCUAAGGCUAAAUACUCUCUAGUGACCGAUAGUGAACCAGUACCGUGAGGGAAAGGUGAAAAGUACCCCGGAAGGGGAGUGAAAGAGAACUUGAAACCGUGUGCUUACAAGUAGUCAGAGCCCGUUAAUGGGUGAUGGCGUGCCUUUUGUAGAAUGAACCGGCGAGUUACGAUCUGAUGCAAGGUUAAGCAGCAAAUGUGGAGCCGCAGCGAAAGCGAGUCUGAAUAGGGCGUUGAGUAUUUGGUCGUAGACCCGAAACCAGGUGAUCUACCCUUGGUCAGGUUGAAGUUCAGGUAACACUGAAUGGAGGACCGAACCGACUUACGUUGAAAAGUGAGCGGAUGAACUGAGGGUAGCGGAGAAAUUCCAAUCGAACUUGGAGAUAGCUGGUUCUCUCCGAAAUAGCUUUAGGGCUAGCCUCAAGUGAUGAUUAUUGGAGGUAGAGCACUGUUUGGACGAGGGGCCCCUCUCGGGUUACCGAAUUCAGACAAACUCCGAAUGCCAAUUAAUUUAACUUGGGAGUCAGAACAUGGGUGAUAAGGUCCGUGUUCGAAAGGGAAACAGCCCAGACCACCAGC
rnacentral:rRNA from 1 species